GACGAACGCUGGCGGCGUGCUUAACACAUGCAAGUCGAACGGUGAACCUCUUCGGAGGGGAUCAGUGGCGAACGGGUGAGUAACACGUGGGCAACCUGCCCCCGGCUCUGGGAUAACUCCAAGAAAUCGGGGCUAAUACCGGAUGUUCACCGCUUCCCUCAUGGGUGGUGGUGGAAAGGGUUUCCGGCUGGGGAUGGGCCCGCGUCCUAUCAGCCUGUUGGUGGUGUAGUGGCCUACGAAGGCGACGACGGGUAGCCGGCCUGAGAGGGUGACCGGCCACACUGGGACUGAGACACGGCCCAGACUCCUACGGGAGGCAGCAGUGGGGAAUAUUGCGCAAUGGGCGGAAGCCUGACGCAGCGACGCCGCGUGGGGGAUGACGGCCUUCGGGUUGUAAACCUCUUUCAGCAGGGACGAAGCGCAAGUGACGGUACCUGCAGAAGAAGCACCGGCCAACUACGUG
rnacentral:rRNA from 1 species